rnacentral:rRNA from 1 species
GACGAACGCUGGCGGCGUGCUUAACACAUGCAAGUCGAACGGAAAGGCCCUGCUUUUGUGGGGUGCUCGAGUGGCGAACGGGUGAGUAACACGUGAGUAACCUGCCCUUGACUUUGGGAUAACUUCAGGAAACUGGGGCUAAUACCGGAUAGGAGCUCCUGCUGCAUGGUGGGGGUUGGAAAGUUUCGGCGGUUGGGGAUGGACUCGCGGCUUAUCAGCUUGUUGGUGGGGUAGUGGCUUACCAAGGCUUUGACGGGUAGCCGGCCUGAGAGGGUGACCGGCCACCUUGGGACUGCGAUACGGCCCAGACUCCUACGGGAGGCAGCAGUGGGGAAUAUUGCACAAUGGGCGGAAGCGUGAUGCAGCAACGCCGCGUGCGGGAUGACGUCCUUCGGGUUGUAAACCGCUUUCGCCUGUGACGAAGCGUGAGUGACGGUAAUGGGUAAAGAAGCACCGGCUAACUACGUG